rnacentral:rRNA from 1 species
UUCCGUACGGUGACCUGCGCGGAGAUCAUUACCGAGUGUAGGGUUCCUAGCGAGCCCAACCUCCCACCCGUGUUUACUGUACCUUAGUUGCUUCGGCGGGCCCGCCCAACAUGGCCGCCGGGGGCUCUCAGCCCCGGGCAAUCGCCCGCCGGAGACACCACGAACUCUGUCUGAUCUAGUGAAGUCUGAGUUGAUUGUCGAGCAAUCAGUUAAAACUUUCAACCCAGGAUCUCUUGGUUCCGGCAUCGCAUAAGAACGCAGCGAAAUGCGAUAACUAGUGUGAAUUGCAGAAUUCCGUGAAUCAUCGAGUCUUUGAACGCACAUUGCGGGGGCUGGAUAACCGGGGGGCAUGCCUGUCCGAGCGUCAUUGCUGCCCAUCUUCAACGGGAAGUGUGUUGGGUGAGCGUGGGCUCUCCGGGGGGGACGGGCCCCAAAGGCAGCGGCGGCACCGCGUCCGAUCCUCGAGCGUAUGGGGCAAAGUCACCCGCUCUGUAGGCCCGGCCGGCGCUUGCCGAACGCAAAUCAAUCUUUUUCCAGGUUGACCUCGGAUCAGGUAGGGAUACCCGCUGAACUUAAGCAUAUCAUAAGCGGGGAGGAAGA